GAGGGAAACUACUCACUGACUCCUGCUUGAUCCAAAACAACACUCCUCAUAAAAUUUGUAGAAAAUUAAAAGGGGAACAUCUUCCAGAAGGAGGAGGGGCAGCAUUCUCUCCUGAGUGUGAAGCCAGCUCUUGGUGUUGCUUCUCUGGAACUGUCAUUUGCCGUUGAUGUUGAUGGUCUUGGAGAGUGAGAGGGAGAGGACAUAGUCUGAGUGGC